GCCCUUAUGGCGUAGUGGUAGCGCGUCGCACUUGUACCUUAUCAGGAUUUAACUGAUAUUCCGAGGUCAUGCGAAGGUCUCUAGUUCAACCCUGGAUGAGGGCA